AGAGUUUGAUCCUGGCUCAGGACGAACGCUGGCGGCGUGCUUAACACAUGCAAGUCGAACGGAAAGGCCCCUUCGGGGGUACUCGAGUGGCGAACGGGUGAGUAACACGUGGGUGAUCUGCCCUGCACUUUGGGAUAAGCCUGGGAAACUGGGUCUAAUACCGAAUAGGACCGCAUGCUUCAUGGUGUGUGGUGGAAAGCUUUUGCGGUGUGGGAUGGGCCCGCGGCCUAUCAGCUUGUUGGUGGGGUAAUGGCCUACCAAGGCGACGACGGGUAGCCAGCCUGAGAGGGUGUCCGGCCACACUGGGACUGAGAUACGGCCCAGACUCCUACGGGAGGCAGCAGUGGGGAAUAUUGCACAAUGGGCGCAAGCCUGAUGCAGCGACGCCGCGUGGGGGAUGACGGCCUUCGGGUUGUAAACCUCUUUCAGUAUCGGCGAAGCUCCAGGAUUUUUCUUGGGGUGACGGUAGGUACAGAAGAAGCACCGGCCAACUACGUGCCAGCAGCCGCGGUAAUACGUAGGGUGCGAGCGUUGUCCGGAAUUACUGGGCGUAAAGAGCUCGUAGGUGGUUUGUCACGUUGUCUGUGAAAACUCACAGCUUAACUGUGGGCGUGCGGGCGAUACGGGCAGACUGGAGUACUGUAGGGGAGACUGGAAUUCCUGGUGUAGCGGUGGAAUGCGCAGAUAUCAGGAGGAACACCGGUGGCGAAGGCGGGUCUCCGGGCAGUAACUGACGCUGAGGAGCGAAAGCGUGGGGAGCGAACAGGAUUAGAUACCCUGGUAGUCCAA
rnacentral:rRNA from 1 species